rnacentral:rRNA from 1 species
UACGAAGGGGGGCUAGCGUUGUUCGGAUUUACUGGGCGUAAAGCGCACGUAGGCGGAUCGUUAAGUCGGGGGGUGAAAUCCUGGAGCUCAACUCCAGAACUGCCUUCGAUACUGGGUAUCUCGAGUCCGGAAGAGGUGAGUGGAAUUCCGAGUGUAGAGGUGAAAAUUCGUAGAUAUUCGGAGGAACACCAGUGGCGAAGGCGGCUCACUGGUCCGGUACUGACGCUGAGGUGCGAAAGCGUGGGGAUCAAACAGG